CAUUCUUUUCUCUUCCUCCUCUCUGUUCUUCACCUGCUGGUGAAUCAAGUUAUUGAAAUAAAGAGAUUUCUAGAUCGAGAGAGAGAUGGGGGUGUUUGAGUAUUGGUUGUUGUAGGUGGUGCUGUUAUUGGUUAGCUCUGGGAAGAAGAGGAGAUGUUGAUGUUGCUGUAAAUUAGAAUUAGGGUUUUCUCAGAAGGUUGUUUAGAAGUUUGAUUAGUGAUGAAUGAGAUGGAAUUGAGAUGGGUUUAUGUUUGAUUGAAUGAUAUGAAUUUUUUGUGAUGAAGAAUCAGUGAGAUAGGGUUUUCUGAAUUAGAUUAUCUUCUGAGUUGUGCAAGACGAGGAUGAUAUUGAGUUGUAACAACUGAAGAUUAUGAGGGUUGUUGAUUAAUUAAUAUUUUUGGGUGGUUCUGAUGAAGAACCGAAGAAUUAGGUUUCCUGUUGAAAAGAAUUAGGAAAUUGGGAUUUGUUUUAAUGAUGAUUAAGAAGGAAUUGAAGUUGGGUUUUACCUGAAUUAGAACUUGAAGUUAAAGAAUAAGAUGUAAUUGAAGUUAGGGUUUUGAAGUUGUUUAUGAAGCUAGGGCUUGAUAAUGUGUUAAUAAGGAAAUGAUGGAGUUAUCUCUGGUGAUAAAGAAAUUCUCAGUGGUGCCGAUUCAAGAGUUGAGUUCAAACAUCUGGGAGAAAAGUGAGAAGAAUUGGAGUUAGUCGUGGUUGUAAUUGAAGCUCAGGAGAUGGAGUAAAGUUGUCGUUGUUGGUGUUGAUUGAACUGAACCGGUGGGUUUGUUGUUGUCUUAAGAUGACAUGUUGAAUCAAGUCAGGCAAGAAAGGGAGUUUCUCAAUUUAUUGGAGUGAAAUCAUUUUAAGGUAAUUGUUCUUUCUCAGUAAAUAGGUAAGGUUAUUCAAUUUCAUGGUUGAUUUUAUAUGAAUGUGGAGAUAACUAUUUAGAUGGAUAUAGAAUCAAGUUGGAAUUAUAGUUUGGAUUGUAUUGAAUUACAGAGUAUUGUUAAAGGUUGGAUCGAUGUACGAAUUGAACUCUAGAGCCGGUGUGGUUAUAUUUGAUUGUGCAAUGAACUGAGUUUUAGUUGUUGUUAUGUCUGAGGUGAAGUUGAAGGUGUUGCUUGAGCUGAGAUGGAACUGCAGUUGAUGUUGAUUUGUAAAUUACAAGGUUUGGGUUUUAGGACAGGUCUUAAAGUGAACAACAGAGAAGAGAUAAAGUGAUGUUGAUGUUGUAACUUUGAAAGGAACUGUGAUUGUGAAGAGAAUAAGUUUAGAAUUGGGUUUGCACUGUGGUUUUAGAUGGUUGUAUUAUAAUUGGUAUGGAAGUUAAAGUAGUGAUGGUAGAGAAGAUUGCAGUUCAUGGGAAUGACGUUACUGAAUUUGCAGAUUGUGCAGACAAGAACUGAAAUGGGGGUGUUGGUUUGAGUUGCAGUUGUAGGUGUUGUAUUUGAUUUGGUGGUGAACUGAAUAUGGACUGCAGGUGGAAUGAGAUGGUGUUGUUGUAUGUGUUUAUGUCAAUAGAAGAUGUUAUGAAUUGGUCAGAUGUAUUAGCUAUGUGUGAGUUGUGCAAGUGAAAUGAAUAUGAGUUUUGGUUUUGUGUUGAUGUUGUUGAACUGGGCAGUUAUAACAGAAAAGAAAGAAGAAGAGUUGAACUGAUUUGGGCCAGAUUGUGUUGCGGUUGAGCUGUAUUGCGGGAACAUAGAUUCUGGGAUGAAGGUUAGAUGAGGGUGUUGAGUUGAACCUCUCUAGUGAAAGAUUGUAACUACAUUGAUGAUUGUAGGGAAUAGCUUAUAGCUCCACUGAAGGCUUGCUACUGCAAUUGCAGUUAGUAUUAACAACGAUCGAUUCAAAGGAUGAACCAGUGGAACGUGGAUCUCGAGGUAGGCGUGGCUUGUCAUCAAAAGAGGUGGGAAUACAUUUGACUCUUUGGUUACCAUUAUUGUUUUCCUUUACAACAGUUUGUGUUUAACAAACUAAUGUAUUUCUGUUUGUACGUUCUAUGCAUUGUUUAACUUGUUUUACGAUAA